AGAGAGAGACAUGCGCGCAUAUCAAUAAGCGGAGGAAAAGAAACUAACAAGGAUUCCUUUAGUAACGGCGAGUGAAGCGGGAAGAGCUCAAAUUUGAAAUCUUCAAGGUUUUACCUUGACGAAUUGUAGUUUAAAGAAGUGUUUUCUGCUGAAGUUUUGGUAAAAGUUCUUUGGAAUAGGACAUCAUAGAGGGUGAGAAUCCCGUAUUUGACCAUUAUUUACAGCUUUGUGAUACACUUUCAAAGAGUCGGAUUGUUUGGGAAUGCAGUCCAAAAUGGGUGGUAAAUUUCAUCUAAAGCUAAAUAUUGGCGAGAGACCGAUAGCGAACAAGUACCGUGAGGGAAAGAUGAAAAGAACUUUGAAAAGAGAGUUAAACAGUACGUGAAAUUGUCAAAAGGGAAGCGUUUGACACCAGUGUUGUUUUCUCGAAAAUCAAUUAAAAAAGGCAGGAUUUUGUGUUGUAUUGACUUUAUCAGCUUUCUGCACUCUUUUCUUGUCUUUUUUAAUGCACUUCUCGUUUAACAAGUCAACAUCAAUUUCUUUUGUUGUAAAAGGGUCAUUGGAAGGUGGCUUUCUUUUCGGAGAAAGUGUUUAUAGCCUUUGGCCUCUGCAAUCGGAGAGAUUGAGGUCUGCAGCGUAGAUCCUUCGGGGUUAGAUACAUUUGUGCUAAGUUAUAGCCUUUCAUAGACAACUUGUUGACUAUGAUCAGUCAUGUAGCUUACUCGCUUAUGCUAUUUUACCUACGCUUAGGAUGUUGAAGUCAUCGUAUCGCGC
rnacentral:rRNA from 1 species